AUACGGAGGGUGCAAGCGUUAUCCGGAAUCAUUGGGUUUAAAGGGUCCGCAGGCGGAUUAAUAUGUCAGUGGUGAAAUCCUCUCGCUCAACGAGAGAACUGCCAUUGAAACUGUUAGUCUUGAAUUCGGUCGAAGUAGGCGGAAUGUGUCAUGUAGCGGUGAAAUGCAUAGAUAUGACACAGAACACCGAUAGCGAAGGCAGCUUACUAGACCUGGAUUGACGCUCAUGGACGAAAGCGUGGGGAGCGAACAGGAUUAGAAACCCCAGUAGUCC
rnacentral:rRNA from 1 species